rnacentral:rRNA from 1 species
GUUUCCGUAGGGUGAACCUGCGGAAGGAUCAUUA